rnacentral:lncRNA from 10 species
GCCAAAUAAUAUGUAAAGUGACCCAGUUCUGUUUUCUUCCAGAUUCAGAAGGGAAUUGGGCCAUUCCUUCUCCAAAGCAGAACGUACUGCAGCUGUGAGAGUUCUAGGAGAAAAUUCAGGUGGAUGCUUCUGUAAUCUUGGAAUGGAGGCUAAGCCUGGCAACAAUGCUAGAAAACAGUGCUGAAGUUUGACAGAUUUAGCCACAUACAAUGGCAAAUGACAAACUGUAAAAGGAAUUCUUGUGAGACAGAGGAAGGAAGGAAGGAAGGAAGGAAGGAAGGAAGGAAGGAAGGUAGGAAGGAAGAAAGGAAGGAAGGAAGGGGCACCCUAAUAGGGCAAACAGUAGUAUAGGUCAGAAAUAACUUUGAAAGAACCACAGGGUGCUGGUGGGCCAAUCAGGGACAGACAGACCCCCUCUUCCAGGGGCUGGGCUGGGCUGGGGUGGGGUCCACAGGUGCAGCCCUGGAGCUGGGCUUGCCUGUCUGCAUCCAAGCAUCCCUGUGCUUUCCCUGUGAGCUGGCAGUCCCCACUAUGAGAUUCUAGCCUGGGAAUGUGCUAUAGGGAAGCUUACAGCAGCAGAUCAUAGAAAAGCAAAAUAGAAAUGUGAAAGGAAAAUAAAAACUUGGGACCCCUACUCCCUCCGCCAAAAGAAAAAAAAAAUGCUGAAAGUGGAGUCAUGCAAGAAGCUGCCUUUCCCUUUGUUCCUAAGCAGAUAGAGACAGAUAAAAGGUUAAAGAUCUCCACUCUGCAUUCACCUUAUCUUGUGUGAAGAGUCGAGUUACUGAGCAUGGGACGAACACAUAACUGACCAUUCCCCUACAUGCUCCUUUUCUUUUGCAACAUUUGGAUUCAGUAAUGUGACCAUACCCUCCCUCUGUCCCCUCCAGCUGGCUUUUUCCUUUAAAUACUGAAGCCCUCGAAAUCAUCUUUGGAGAAAGGCACAGACCUGUCUCCCAAGACGUGUCCUUAAUCUUGGCAAAGUAAACUUCUAAGUUGAUCGAGGCUUGUCUCAGAUAUUUUCAGGUUUACAGAAAGAAAUUCAAUUUCAGUCACAAACGGAAUGAUAAAAUAAGUUGUUACGCAUCCAUAGAAAGAAGAUAUUAACAUGAUGAACUUUCAAAUCAGCUUCUCAAGUGUCAACAUCCUGUUGCGAUUUUCAUUGAUAUUGAACUGAAUUUAUAGAUUUUGUAAGCAGAAAAAAAUUAUUUUAAUUUUUUGAGAAAAAAAGUUUUAAAUGGUUUGUUUUCAGACUGUGUCAAGAUAUCCCUACCUCCGAAGUUGUCAGGUUUGCGGACCUUGGGGUGAAGCGUGGGGCUGCUGGAGGCGUCCAGCCCUGACUGUGUGUCCAGGACAAUGAGCCCCGAAGUGAGCGGGCCGCGUCCUGUUGGCGCAGCCAACUUCACGCCCUCUGUCCAGGGAGGACUAAGGGACAAGCUGCAGCAGGCGCAGAGGACGCUGUUGGUGUCCGGGAGGCCGCUGGUACAGGGCGUUGGGCGUGGCUCCUUUCCAAGUGCCUUGCACUUUCCAGGCUGGGCUGCAGAAGCAGGCUCGGGGGCGACUCGCGUGGGGACUGAAGCAGCCAGCCUUGGCACCUGCCCACAGCAAAUAACUGCCUUGACUUGAUCUGGUUUUUUUGAAGAAAGGUUUAUUCAUACCCAUUAUGUGCGCAUGUGUAAAUUCAAACCCACGGCUUGCCGGAGCCUGGGCUUUCUCGAACAUCAGUUGCUCCCAUGCUACCAUUUUGCAGUUUGC